UGACCCCAAAAGCCCUGGACUCAACAGGGAGCAGCUGUACUGGGAGCUAAGCAAGCUGACCAAUGGCAUUGAUGAGCUGGGCCCCUACACCCUGGACAGGAACAGUCUCUAUGUCAAUGGUUUCACACAACGGAGCUCUGUGCCCACCACCAGCACUGCCAGCCCUCUCCUGGUGCCGUUCACUCUCAACUUCACCAUCACCAACCUGCG
ensembl:lincRNA